GCCGCCGUAGACCAACAGCAGAGUCGGUGGUUUCAGAAACCAUUCAGUGAAGGUGCAAGUCCUUCCGGCGGCA
rnacentral:tRNA from 2 species